GGCCUUAAACUUUUUUUUUUUUGCAAAGGCAGCAUAGAUGUAAGCAAUGAUAUCCGCUUUUUGGCUGUUGUUCACCUAGAUAGACUAUGAGUAGGUUUUGUAAGGCAUACUUGACUGAUGACAUCACAAAGUAAGAGAAAUUCAGUGAGUUCUUAAGGCUUCACCAACACUCCAAUAGCCUCUUAAGACCAUGUAGGAUGGGAGGAUCGAACUCCAAUUGAAGAAGAGAGAAGAUACAAAUCAACAGUGUUAAAGAAAAAUAGUGUCAG
rnacentral:lncRNA from 1 species